UACGAAGGGGCUAGACGUUGUUCGGAAUUGACUGGGCGUAAAGGGCGCGUAGGCGGUCCUGGAUCGUCGGAUGUGGAAAGGCCUGGGACUCAACCUGGGAACUGCAAUCCGAUACGGCGGGACUGGAGUGUGGGAGAGGUUGGUGGAAUUCCGAGUGUAGAGGUGAAAUUCGUGAGAUAGUUGGGAAAGAACACCGGUGGCGAAGGCGGCCAACUG
rnacentral:rRNA from 1 species